rnacentral:rRNA from 1 species
UUAAAUUGAAGAGUUUGAUCAUGGCUCAGAUUGAACGCUGGCGGCAGGCCUAACACAUGCAAGUCGAACGGUAACAGAAAGCAGCUUGCUGUUUCGCUGACGAGUGGCGGACGGGUGAGUAAUGUCUGGGAAACUGCCUGAUGGAGGGGGAUAACUACUGGAAACGGUAGCUAAUACCGCAUAACGUCGCAAGACCAAAGAGGGGGACCUUCGGGCCUCUUGCCAUCGGAUGUGCCCAGAUGGGAUUAGCUUGUUGGUGGGGUAACGGCUCACCAAGGCGACGAUCCCUAGCUGGUCUGAGAGGAUGACCAGCCACACUGGAACUGAGACACGGUCCAGACUCCUACGGGAGGCAGCAGUGGGGAAUAUUGCACAAUGGGCGCAAGCCUGAUGCAGCCAUGCCGCGUGUAUGAAGAAGGCCUUCGGGUUGUAAAGUACUUUCAGCGGGGAGGAAGGGAGUAAAGUUAAUACCUUUGCUCAUUGACGUUACCCGCAGAAGAAGCACCGGCUAACUCCGUGCCAGCAGCCGCGGUAAUACGGAGGGUGCAAGCGUUAAUCGGAAUUACUGGGCGUAAAGCGCACGCAGGCGGUUUGUUAAGUCAGAUGUGAAAUCCCCGGGCUCAACCUGGGAACUGCAUCUGAUACUGGCAAGCUUGAGUCUCGUAGAGGGGGGUAGAAUUCCAGGUGUAGCGGUGAAAUGCGUAGAGAUCUGGAGGAAUACCGGUGGCGAAGGCGGCCCCCUGGACGAAGACUGACGCUCAGGUGCGAAAGCGUGGGGAGCAAACAGGAUUAGAUACCCUGGUAGUCCACGCCGUAAACGAUGUCGACUUGGAGGUUGUGCCCUUGAGGCGUGGCUUCCGGAGCUAACGCGUUAAGUCGACCGCCUGGGGAGUACGGCCGCAAGGUUAAAACUCAAAUGAAUUGACGGGGGCCCGCACAAGCGGUGGAGCAUGUGGUUUAAUUCGAUGCAACGCGAAGAACCUUACCUGGUCUUGACAUCCACAGAACUUUCCAGAGAUGGAUUGGUGCCUUCGGGAACUGUGAGACAGGUGCUGCAUGGCUGUCGUCAGCUCGUGUUGUGAAAUGUUGGGUUAAGUCCCGCAACGAGCGCAACCCUUAUCCUUUGUUGCCAGCGGUCCGGCCGGGAACUCAAAGGAGACUGCCAGUGAUAAACUGGAGGAAGGUGGGGAUGACGUCAAGUCAUCAUGGCCCUUACGACCAGGGCUACACACGUGCUACAAUGGCGCAUACAAAGAGAAGCGACCUCGCGAGAGCAAGCGGACCUCAUAAAGUGCGUCGUAGUCCGGAUUGGAGUCUGCAACUCGACUCCAUGAAGUCGGAAUCGCUAGUAAUCGUGGAUCAGAAUGCCACGGUGAAUACGUUCCCGGGCCUUGUACACACCGCCCGUCACACCAUGGGAGUGGGUUGCAAAAGAAGUAGGUAGCUUAACCUUCGGGAGGGCGCUUACCACUUUGUGAUUCAUGACUGGGGUGAAGUCGUAACAAGGUAACCGUAGGGGAACCUGCGGUUGGAUCACCUCCUUA